rnacentral:rRNA from 1 species
AAUUGAAGAGUCUGAUCAUGGCUCAGAUUGAACGUUGGCGGCAGGUCUCAUACAUGCAAGUCGAACGAGGCGCCGGCUUCGGCCGGAACCUAGUGGCGAACGGGUGAGUAACGCGUAGGAAUCUACCUAGUAGUGAGGAAUAACUCGAGGAAACUCGAGCUAAUACCGCAUACGACCUGAGGGUGAAAGCGGGGGCUUUUCGGACCUCGCGCUAUUAGCGGAGCCUGCGUUGGAUUAGCUUGUUGGUGGGGUAAUGGCCUACCAAGGCAACGAUCCAUAGCUGGUCUGAGAGGAUGAUCAGUCACACUGGAACUGAGACACGGUCCAGACUUCUACGGAAGGCAGCAGUAAAGAAUAUUGCGCAAUGGGCGAAAGCCUGACGCAGCCAUGCCGCGUGUGUGAAGAAGGCCUUUGGGUUGUAAAGCACUUUCAGUAGUGAGGAAAAGCGAACUGCUAAUACCAGUUCGUCAUGACAUUAGCUACAGAAGAAGCACCGGCUAACUCCGUGCCAGCAGCCGCGGUAAUACGGAGGGUGC